rnacentral:rRNA from 1 species
UACGGAGGGUGCGAGCGUUGUCCGGAAUCACUGGGCGUAAAGGGCGCGUAGGCGGCUUCUCAAGCGUGUGGUGAAAGUCCGGGGCUCAACCCCGGAUCGGCCGUGCGGACUGGGGAGCUCGAGUUCUGUAGAGGCGGGUGGAAUUGCCGGUGUAGUGGUGAAAUGCGUAGAGAUCGGCAGGAACACCCAGGGGGAAACCAGCCGACUGGGCAUCUGCUGACGCUGAGGUGCGAGAGCGUGGGGAGCGAACCGG